rnacentral:rRNA from 1 species
CCUACGGGAGGCAGCAGUGGGGAAUAUUGGGCAAUGGGCGCAAGCCUGACCCAGCAACGCCGCGUGAAGGAAGAAGGCAUUCGGGUCGUAAACCUCUUUUAAGAGGGAAGAGAAGAUGACGUUACGUGUUGCAGACGGUACGGCUAACUAGGUCCCAGCAGCCGUGGUAAUACGGAGGUGCCAAGCGUGGUCGGGAUUUACUGGGUGUAAAGGGUGUGCAGGUGGGAAGACAAGUCAGAUGUGAAAUCCCGCGGCUCAAACGCGGAACUGCAUUUGAAACUGGUGAACUUGAGUACCGGAGAGGUAAGCGGAAUUCCUAGUGUAGCGGUGAAAUGCGUAGAUAUAAGGAAGAACACCAGUGGCGAAGGCGGAUGACUGGACGGCAACUGACGUUGAGGCGCGAAAGCGUGGGGAGCAAACAGGAUUAGAUACCCCAGUAGUC